UACAGAGGGUGCGAGCGUUGUCCGGAAUUACUGGGCGUAAAGCGCACGUAGGCGGAUCGAUCAGUCAGGGGUGAAAUCCCAGAGCUCAACUCUGGAACUGCCUUUGAUACUGUCGAUCUAGAGUAUGGAAGAGGUGAGUGGAAUUCCGAGUGUAGAGGUGAAAUUCGUAGAUAUUCGGAGGAACACCAGUGGCGAAGGCGGCUCACUGGUCCAUUACUGACGCUGAGGUGCGAAAGCGUGGGGAGCAAACAGG
rnacentral:rRNA from 1 species